rnacentral:tRNA from 1 species
CAGGGAGACAAAUCAAUAGAUCUUGAUGUCUGAUUAUUUUUUUAUCAGGCCAAGGUCCUGUCACCUUAGGUCGAUCGGUACCUCAAUUAAGCUAUUAUUCAAUUUUGAUUUUUGGCUUGAAUCAGUUCCUAAACUUGUCUAGGUCACACCCAAUAGAAGGGUACUCCUGGGCCAUUAGCUCAGGUGGUUAGAGCGCACCCCUGAUAAGGGUGAGGUCCCUGGUUCAAGUCCAGGAUGGCCCAUUCGGUGUUGGGGGUAUAGCUCAGUUGGUAGAGCGCCUGCUUUGCAAGCAGGAUGUCAGCGGUUCGAGUCCGCUUACCUCCACUGAUCGAUCUCCUGAUAGCGAUGGUAAGGAGAAAAUUUUGUUGAGUGUGAUUUGGAUUUGUUCAACUGAUUGAACCUAGCUUCCUAUCAUUCCUAAAUUUAUUUUUUUUCGAAAUAAAUAAUUAGGUUGAAAGGACGCUGGGCUCACUACAUUUUUAUAAAUGUAGUUUUAGUUCAGUAGAACCUUGACAACUGCAUAGGUGAGUCUGGAAAAAAUAAAGCAUCUCAUGGAUGCAUUGUUUUUUUAGGAUUUAAGGAAAUAUUUUUUUAUUACCUUGAAUUUACUAAAUUAAAUAGUGUAAUUUAUUGAGCAAGAGCAAAGACUCUAUAAAUUUCUAAAGUGUUCUUACUUUUGUUUUAUAGAGAGAUAAU